rnacentral:lncRNA from 1 species
UGAUAUUGGCCAUAAACUAAUUUAGCGCAGGGCUUUGCACCUUAGUAGCUNUAUUACAUAAGGUCGGUUNUAAGAUACGUUCCACAGGAUCUUGAAGGUUACAUCACUACACUAGAAACCAGUAAACCGGUGCAUAGCACGUACUAACUAUGUAACAAGGUACUACUUAGCUUUUUAUUUUUUAACGUACUCCUUAUGUACGUAGCUUUAUCUAAAAAUCAGUAAAGUUAUUUGAAUAAAUCUCACAGUGAGUUUGUAGCUUUAUCUUAAUAUUAUUUAACUAUAUUAAACCAUAUUCCCGAAAGGAAACGUAGUUUGUUAAGCUAAAUAUUAUAGAGCCACCAAGCACACGGUGUCACGUUUAACGGACUUAAUCUAACUAAGCUCUAAACGACGUUAGGGGCGAAGCCCUAACCACAACGAGGGUAGAAAACGCGAGUUUAAUCACCUAACAACGCUUACGCGCUGUGCGUUUUGUAGCUUAAGGUAGUUAAUAAGCUACAGGGCCCCUAGCUAUUCUUCCCCUUUAGUUCCCCUUUAGGGGAUGUACGUCUUCCCCUAAAGGGGAACUAAAGGGGAAGAAGGGGGACAACAAGCAAAGGCCAAAGGCACUACCAGGUAGUGCCUUGUGUUCCUUUAGGGGAGCCCAAAGGGGAGAACCAACCGUAUAAGCUCUGUGAGUUUCGGGCGGAGCCCUAUAAAACGACAAAAACCAAGCACACGCUUCACUAUACUUGUGGCUCAUCCCCUUCGGGGAAAGAGCUUGACCCGUCGUUGUCUUCACCAAUCUUGGUGGGGA